CGAAGGAUUACUAUAAAUAUGAUACGUUAAUGUCUCGAGAUUUAUAGAGAAAAUAUGGCUUCCGAAAACAAAGUUGGUGUAAUGUAUCUUCUCAUUUUGUGCAGUGCAAUUCUACUGAGCGUCAAUCCAACAAUUGCGAGCGCAAGAACAAUAUGCCCACCAUGCUUACCAAUUAGUGCAGGUGCAUAUAUGAUCUGCCCAUCUUCGAGCAGUAAGCAACUUAAUCCACUCUGCAAUUGCUGCUAUGCUCCGAAAGGCUGCACCAUUUACUAUGCUUCUGGAACACCAAUCUGCACUGCCACUUAAAUGGAUCGAUGGGAUGCGAUCUUGAACAUGUUUGCUAGUACUCACAUUUGGUUUGCAAAAUAAAGUUGUCUGUAUGUUGUUAUAUAGAGACAAUGAAUUGUGUCGUAUUAUCGGCUUAUUUGUAUUUGUAUUGCCUAUAUUGCAUUUGUACCUCUACUGUCUACAGUAUCAUGUCGUUUCAUAUAUAGACCCUUUAGCGGUUUGGUAUCUUGUACAAUAAAGAUUUUUAGCCUUUUGUACUAUCAUUGUGCGUGCGAAUUGAGAUCACUUUAAUUCAAUGGGUACGGUGUUCUUUUAUUUA